GGAGUGAGGAGCUCUGCAUGUGAGCUCCUCUCUCCUUCUCUACAUGGUCCCGGGCAGAAGAGGUCUCGGCAGCUGGGAGGGCGGGCGGUUGCUCAACACAGAAGUUGCCGUCUCAAUAUUGAUCGUUUAAAACAACAAUCACCGCAGAAUGUGGCAUGUUAAUAAGCGGAUUUUAUUUGCAGCACUUUAAUAAUGCAGGUACGUUCUCCAACCGAGUGUAGCACUUCCUCUUUUUAAGUUUGCAGUUUGUGCAAGUUUACUCGGAGGAAAGUACUGUUGCUUUUCACAGAACAUCGCUGCCCCAGUAUUAUGAAUCUAUCUGUCUGCUUAAUAAAUAUUUCUUAAUAUGCAACAGUUGGGGUUAGGUGUUCUGUCUGCCAAUCUUGAUCUGACAAGAAAACUGCGAUAGACUCCUCGGUAUCUUUAAAGUAAAGACGUUGUUGACACACCGACACAAUCUUAUAAACCAUUACACAUGUGAUCCUACAUGGUAGAUAACAGAAACCACUGAAGCUAUUGUACCACAAUAAAGUUAUUUUCUUUGUUUUAGAAUUUUAAAACUGUUUCAAUAUCAAGAAUAAUAUAUGCACAGAAAUGGAAGAGUAAUGAACUGCCUCAAAAAGAAGAUUGGCUGAUAAAAACUUUGGAGUAUGCAGAGAUGGCAAAACUUACAACAUUGAUAAGAGAUCAAAGCUUAGGACGUUUCAAGGAAGAUUUGAGACCUUUUUUGUUGUAUUUAAAGAAUUAUUUUCCUACUAUUGAUCUUACAGCAGGAUUUGAAAUUUGAAAUGCAGGUUGGGUAGAUUAAUGUUUUUUUGUUUUUUUUAAAAGGUUUAAAUUUGUUUUUUAUUAACAUUAUAAUAAGGCUAAACUUUAUAGUUGUUAUUUCACGAAGGGAGGUGCGCGGGAAGUCCAUUUGUGUUUAUUAUGAUUGUUAAUGGUUAUUGUUAAAAAUUAAUAAAAACUGAAUUUGAAAAAAAAGAGAGAGAGAAGGUGGGAAGAGCUGUGGGGAUAAAAAGGGCUGAGGGUAGAAGAGAAAGAAUAAUCAGACAGCAGCAGAAACGAGACAACAUACAAGAGCAGAGACACAUGGCGGCGGGAGGAGGAGGAGGAAAAGGAAAAGGGAAGAGAUGAGAAGAGAAGAUUGGACAUGGAGAAACAGCAUUGACAAAGGAAGUGCUGGAGAAGGAAUGGAUGAGUAAGGGAGCUGUGGGUGAGAUUGACUGUUAUUGUUCAGUGCAGAGUAGGAAAGCUGGAGGCACUUAUCCCAUUUUUACUUUUUCUUUUGCUCUUGUGGUUCUUGUUCUUUAUACAGAAAUAUUUCCAAAGCUUAUUGUUAAAACUGGAUUACCCUUUCUUCCUCCCCCCCGCCAUCAGAUCUUUAAUUCAGAUCUCGUGUGCUCUCUGUGUUGGAAUUCUCCAACCCACACUUAUGAGUCACACCACACUACCUAAGUUGGGUACGAGACAGAGGUCUGGUGGACUGUUCAGUGGAGACAGCCAGGGAAUAAAAAUUUCCACUUGGUGACAGUGGUAAAACCCCUUGAAUCAUGGGGUUGGUUAAGACCAGACCGUGACACCCCAGCAGCAGUUCUGAUUUCUGACUCUCCCCACACAACCGCUCACAAGGUUGAGUCUCCAAGUUGCCCUCCUCAAUCCCUUCUGGAACUAGCCACGCGCCUGACCUGCCACUGCUGGUCAGAUUUUAGGUGCCCUCCUGAUGCCUCUCAGCCCACAGUCAAAGACAUAUUUGGUUGAUGUCACUGCGAGUAUCCAGGUAACGGGGUCUAAGCAAUUGUUGCUAAGGCCGUGGAAUGUUGGGAAGAAGGCAGUUAAGAAAUGGAGAGGAAGAAGUGAGAAGAGAAAGGAAGAAUA